rnacentral:tRNA from 2 species
GGGCGGCUAGCUCAGCUGGAAGAGCAUCUCGUUUACACCGAGAGGGUCGGCGGUUCGAACCCGUCGCCGCCUACCA